rnacentral:tRNA from 1 species
GGGGCGUAGUUCGAAUUGGUAGAACAGCGGUCUCCAAAACCGAUGGUUGCGGGUUCGAGUCCUGCCGCCCUGCCA